rnacentral:rRNA from 1 species
GAUGAACGCUGGCGGCGUGCCUAAUACAUGCAAGUCGAGCGAACAGAUGAGGAGCUUGCUCCUCUGGCGUUAGCGGCGGACGGGUGAGUAACACGUGGAUAACCUACCUAUAAGACUGGGAUAACUUCGGGAAACCGGAGCUAAUACCGGAUAAUAUAUUGAACCGCAUGGUUCAAUAGUGAAAGACGGUUUUGCUGUCACUUAUAGAUGGAUCCGCGCCGCAUUAGCUAGUUGGUAAGGUAACGGCUUACCAAGGCAACGAUGCGUAGCCGACCUGAGAGGGUGAUCGGCCACACUGGAACUGAGACACGGUCCAGACUCCUACGGGAGGCAGCAGUAGGGAAUCUUCCGCAAUGGGCGAAAGCCUGACGGAGCAACGCCGCGUGAGUGAUGAAGGUCUUCGGAUCGUAAAACUCUGUUAUUUGGGAAGAACAAAUGUGUAAGUAACUAUGCACGUCUUGACGGUACCUAAUCAGAAAGCCACGGCUAACUACGUG